AAGUUUAGGAUGUUUAAACCAAGGACCUUCAAAGCCCUAAACAAAGACACCUUCUAACUUCUG
rnacentral:tRNA from 1 species